AUGAACGCUGGCGGCGUGCUUAACACAUGCAAGUCGAACGAAGCAUUUUAACUUGAUUUCCUCGGAAUGAUUGUUACUUUGACUGAGUGGCGGACGGGUGAGUAACGCGUGGGUAACCUGCCUCAUACAGGGGGAUAACAGUUAGAAAUGACUGCUAAUACCGCAUAAGCGCACAGCAUCGCAUGAUGCAGUGUGAAAAACUCCGGUGGUAUGAGAUGGACCCGCGUCUGAUUAGCUAGUUGGUGAGGUAACGGCCCACCAAGGCGACGAUCAGUAGCCGGCCUGAGAGGGUGAACGGCCACAUUGGGACUGAGACACGGCCCAAACUCCUACGGGAGGCAGCAGUGGGGAAUAUUGCACAAUGGGGGAAACCCUGAUGCAGCGACGCCGCGUGAGUGAAGAAGUAUUUCGGUAUGUAAAGCUCUAUCAGCAGGGAAGAAAAUGACGGUACCUGACUAAGAAGCACCGGCUAAAUACGUG
rnacentral:rRNA from 1 species